UGAAGAGGGAAGAGCUCAAAUUUAAAAUCUGGCAGUGUUUCGCUGUCCGAGUUGUAAUCUAGAGAAGUGCUGCCCGUGCUGGACCAUGUACAAGUNUCCUGGAAUGGAGCCUCAUAGAGGGUGAGAAUCCCGUCUUUGACAUGGACUUCCCAGUGCAUUUGUGGUGUGCUCUCAAAGAGUCGAGUUGUUUGGGAUUGCAGCUCUAAAUGGGUGGUAAACUCCAUCUAAAGCUAAAUAUUGGCGAGAGACCGAUAGUGAACAAGUACCGUGAGGGAAAGAUGAAAAGAACUUUGGAAAGAGAGUUAAACAGUAUGUGAAAUUGUUGAAAGGGAAACGCUUAAAGUCAGUCAUAUCAGCCAGGGAUCAGCUUGGCUUUUUU
rnacentral:rRNA from 1 species